UGGGGAAUAUUGCACAAUGGGCGCAAGCCUGAUGCAGCCAUGCCGCGUGUGUGAAGAAGGCCUUCGGGUUGUAAAGCACUUUCAGCAAGGAGGAAAGGGUAUGUUUUAAUAGAGCAUAUCUGUGACGUUACUUGCAGAAGAAGCACCGGCUAACUCCGUGCCAGCAGCCGCGGUAAUACGGAGGGUGCGAGCGUUAAUCGGAAUUACUGGGCGUAAAGCGUACGCAGGCGGUUUGUUAAGCGAGAUGUGAAAGCCCCGGGCUCAACCUGGGAACAGCAUUUCGAACUGGCAGGCUAGAGUGUGAUAGAGGGUGGUAGAAUUUCAGGUGUAGCGGUGAAAUGCGUAGAGAUCUGAAGGAAUACCGAUGGCGAAGGCAGCCACCUGGGUCAACACUGACGCUCAUGUACGAAAGCGUGGGGAGCAAACGGG
rnacentral:rRNA from 1 species